rnacentral:lncRNA from 1 species
GUAUCUACUUUAUGAGCAGAGAAUAGCAGGAGGAAAAUGAAGUAUAACUGAGACAAGCACAAAAACCACUAAUGGCUAUAGAUUCCAUGCCAUCAGAAAAAAAAUAUAGGGAGCAGUUUUCCACAGGAACAUCUCGACAGCAGUGGCCAGUAAUGAAAUCGGAAUACAGCAAGGAACAUCCAGAACUCAACACACCAAUGAAGAUGCCUGAUUAUCACUGGCAGACGAGCAAUGAUCUCCAAAUAAAGGGGUGUCUCAAAUCCAGCAAGGGAAAAGAUGUUAAUAAACACUUUGUUGGGCCCAAGACCCCCUUAUUAAAAUGACACUACCCAACCCCCACAACAAGUGAAAUUCAUUCCUGGGAAGUAAGACCUUUUUCUGUACAUAAAAAUGUCAUGCUUUAAAGUCUAUUGUCUCACAGUCUCUGUUAUAUGGCAGCCUCAAGCCUGGUCCAUUCAGCCACGCAGGCUUUCAGAAAAAUGUGCCAAUUAUAGGUACUUGGUUAUGCUGUAAAAUAAGGUGACUCCUAUACUUUGCAAAACACUUCCAUGCUCUCAGCUGAAUGAGCACUAUGUGAUUGCAAAGCACCAGCAACUACAAACAGCACCCAAGACUCAGUCCUCUUUUCUAAACACUUGCACGCAUUCUCCCUCUAGAGCCAGGAACAGAACCAGGAACCUUGAUUCUCAACACUCCACUACUGUCUACCACAGGGGUAGGCAACCUAUGGCACGUGUGCCGAAGGCGGCUCACGAGCUGAUUUUCAGUGGCACUCACACUGCCCAGGUCCUGGCCACCGGUCCGGGGAGCUCUGCAUUUUAAUUUAAUUUUAAAUGAAGCUUCUUAAACAUUUAAAAACCUUAUUUACUUUACAUACAACAAUAGUUUGGUUAUAUAUUAUAGACUUAUAGAUAGAGACCUUCUAAAAAUGUUAAAAUGUAUUACUGGCUCGUGAAACCUUAAAUUAGAGUGAAUAAAUGAAGACUAGCAUGAAGCUGUGCCUCCCA